AUUGAACGCUGGCGGAAUGCUUUACACAUGCAAGUCGAACGGCAGCAUAGAGAGCUUGCUCUCUGAUGGCGAGUGGCGAACGGGUGAGUAAUAUAUCGGAACGUGCCUAGUAAUGGGGAAUAACUAGCUGAAAGGUUAGCUAAUGCCGCAUACGACCUACGGGUGAAAGCAGGGGAUCUUCGGACCUUGCGUUAUUAGAGCGGCCGAUAUCUGAUUAGCUUGUUGGUGGGGUAAUGGCCUACCAAGGCGACGAUCAGUAGCUGGUCUGAGAGGACGAUCAGCCACACUGGAACUGAGACACGGUCCAGACUCCUACGGGAGGCAGCAGUGGGGAAUUUUGGACAAUGGGGGCAACCCUGAUCCAGCCAUUCCGCGUGAGUGAAGAAGGCCUUCGGGUUGUAAAGCUCUUUCGCAAGAGAAGAAAACUUGCUAUCUAAUAAAUAGUAAGUAUGACGGUAUCUUGACAAGAAGCACCGGCUAACUACGUGCCAGCAGCCGCGGUAAUACGUAGGGUGCAAGCGUUAAUCGGAAUUACUGGGCGUAAAGCGUGCGCAGGCAGUUUUAUAAGUCAGAUGUGAAAUCCCCGAGCUCAACUUGGGAACUGCGUUUGAAACUAUAAGACUAGAGUGUGUCAGAGGGGGGUAGAAUUCCAAGUGUAGCAGUGAAAUGCGUAGAGAUUUGGAGGAAUACCAAUGGCGAAGGCAGCCCCCUGGGAUAACACUGACGCUCAGCACGAA
rnacentral:rRNA from 1 species